rnacentral:rRNA from 1 species
AACGAACGCUGGCGGCAGGCUUAACACAUGCAAGUCGAGCGCCCCGCAAGGGGAGCGGCAGACGGGUGAGUAACGCGUGGGAAUCUACCCAUCCCUACGGAACAACUCCGGGAAACUGGAGCUAAUACCGUAUACGCCCUUAGGGGGAAAGAUUUAUCGGGGAUGGAUGAGCCCGCGUUGGAUUAGCUAGUUGGUGGGGGUAAUGGCCUACCAAGGCAACGAUCCAUAGCUGGUCUGAGAGGAUGAUCAGCCACACUGGGACUGAGACACGGCCCAGACUCCUACGGGAGGCAGCAGUGGGGGAAUAUUGGACAAAUGGGCGCAAGCCUGAUCCAGCCAUGCCGCGUGAGUGAUGACGGCCCUAGGGUUGUAAAGCUCUUUCUACCGGUGAAGAAUAAUGACGGUAACCGGGAGAAGAAAGCCCCGGCUAACUUCGUGCCAGCAG